rnacentral:rRNA from 1 species
GACGAACGCUGGCGGCGUGCCUAAUACAUGCAAGUAGAACGCACAGUUUAUACCGUAGCUUGCUACACCAUAAACCGUGAGUUGCGAACGGGUGAGUAACGCGUAGGUAACCUGCCUGGUAGCGGGGGAUAACUAUUGGAAACGAUAGCUAAUACCGCAUAAUAUUAAUUAUUGCAUGAUAAUUGAUUGAAAGAUGCAAUUGCAUCACUACCAGAUGGACCUGCGUUGUAUUAGCUAGUAGGUGAGGUAACGGCUCACCUAGGCGACGAUACAUAGCCGACCUGAGAGGGUGAUCGGCCACACUGGGACUGAGACACGGCCCAGACUCCUACGGGAGGCAGCAGUAGGGAAUCUUCGGCAAUGGACGAAAGUCUGACCGAGCAACGCCGCGUGAGUGAAGAAGGUUUUCGGAUCGUAAAGCUCUGUUGUAAGAGAAGAACGGGUGUGAGAGUGGAAAGUUCACACUGUGACGGUAUCUUACCAGAAAGGGACGGCUAACUACGUG